rnacentral:rRNA from 1 species
UGGUUGAUCCUGCCAGUAGCAUAUGCUUGUCUCAAAGAUUAAGCCAUGCAUGUCUAAGUACGCACGGCCGGUACAGUGAAACUGCGAAUGGCUCAUUAAAUCAGUUAUGGUUCCUUUGGUCGCUCGCUCCUCUCCUACUUGGAUAACUGUGGUAAUUCUAGAGCUAAUACAUGCCGACGGGCGCUGACCCCCUUCGCGGGGGGGAUGCGUGCAUUUAUC